rnacentral:rRNA from 1 species
ACGGGUGAGUAAUACAUCGGAACGUAUCCUGGAGUGGGGGAUAGCCCGGCGAAAGCCGGAUUAAUACCGCAUACGCUCUGAGGAGGAAAGCGGGGGACCUUCGGGCCUCGCGCUCAAGGGGCGGCCGAUGGCGGAUUAGGUAGUUGGUGGGGUAAAGGCCUACCAAGCCGACGAUCCGUAGCUGGUCUGAGAGGACGACCAGCCACACUGGGACUGAGACACGGCCCAGACUCCUACGGGAGGCAGCAGUGGGGAAUUUUGGACAAUGGGGGCAACCCUGAUCCAGCAAUGCCGCGUGUGUGAAGAAGGCCUUCGGGUUGUAAAGCACUUUUGUCCGGAAAGAAAUCAUCGGGGCCAAUACCCCUGGUGGAUGACGGUACCGGAAGAAUAAGCACCGGCUAACUACGUGCCAGCAGCCGCGGUAAUACGUAGGGUGCGAGCGUUAAUCGGAAUUACUGGGCGUAAAGCGUGCGCAGGCGGUGCUGUAAGACCGAUGUGAAAUCCCCGGGCUUAACCUGGGAACUGCAUUGGUGACUGCAGCGCUGGAGUAUGGCAGAGGGGGGUGGAAUUCCACGU